AUGAGUAGUUUUCCAAGUAGUGUUGAGAGUGGAGAGAGUAUAGGUUUCAGUAAUUUGAAUGAUUCGAACGGUAGUUUGUGUAGGUUGCUUGGUAACCGUCUCGAGAGAUUUGAAUUGGUGUAUGGGAGUGAGUGUGGUGGGGGUGUGAAUUGCAAUCCUCUUGGUGUUGCUGCCGUAAUAGAGAUCGAAUCAGAAAACUGUGUAAAUGAGACUAUCAUCAGUGCUAUCCAUGAAACUCCCAGUGCUGGGGUUCUGCUUUUCUUACAUCAAAGAUCAUCAGAUGGUGGAAGAACAGAGCAUUCCCUUUUGCUUAUGCGAACAAGCAGAACAAAACCAAGCUGGAGAAGUGGAGAUUCAGAAGAUGACUUAUACGAACAAGCAAAACAAAUCCGAGCUGCAAAACUCGCUGCCAAAGCUGUCAUGCGAUCGAGGUCCUCCUCAGUUCCCUCUUUGCCUGAAACUGUAGAUGGCAAACGUCGUCAUAUUACUUAUGAGUUUCUUCCAUAUUUGCUCCCAUCUCUCUCUCUGCCAUCAACCAACAUCACCCUCUUCGGCGACGCCUCCAUAACCCACAACACCAUCAGCCUCACUCGGCCGCUCUCCACCUGCCCAAGCACCAACGCCUCCGAGGUCAGGGCCGGCGGGGCCUUCUACUCCAACCCAGUUCGGUUUCUUGACCCAGAAACCCAAGAUUUCCCUUCUUUCGCCUCUUUCUUGAGCCGCUUCACUUUCACCAUCACCCAGUUGUGCUCUUCCGGCGACGGCAUGGCGUUUGUGAUCACCUCCGACCUGAAAGGUUUAAGCUACUCGAUAGGGUCUAUGACAUCAAUGGGAGCCAUGUCGGGAUUGAUAUCAAUAGUGUUGAGACUGUGGCUUCUGUUAAUGCUGGGGUUGAUUUGGUGGGUGGGAAGGAGAUUACUGCUUGGGUUGAGUAUAGAGAUGAUCUGAAGUUGAUUCGGGUCGGGGUAGGGGUUUCACCGGAGAAUAAGCCUCCGAGUCCGGUUAUUGUCGCCCAGAUUGACCUUUCCGGUCAAUUUAGUGAGUUGGCGUAUGUGGGAUUAACUGCAGCAAAUGGGAGGGGCGGCUCUUCUGCCUACAUUGUUAAGAAUUGGAUGUUUAAGACUUUCAAUGGGUCUCUGCCUUCUGUGCUUCCUAUGGAUUUCUGGGAGCAGCAGUGUUUUAUAUGUAGGCAUUCAAGUAUUAACGUCAAUUCUGUUCGUGUGAGGAAGACAGUAAUUGUUUUCGCAUUGCUGUUGUUUAUACUGGUUACUUUCGUGAUUUGCUUUGUGUGUGGGAAGAAGAGGAAGGGGAGUGGCAGAAGGAUUGGACCAGGGCCGAGUUGUAGAGUUGAGACGAGUAGAGUACCAAGGAGUUUUUCACGUAAAGAGAUCACAUGGGCUACAAUGGGGUUUAAUAGAAGUAGAAUUGUUGGGGAAGGAGCAACAGGUAAGGUGUACAAAGGUUGUUUGGUAUCUGGUGAAGAAGUGGCAGUCAAAAGGCUUGAGAGAUCUGAUGGGCUUGAGCUUUUGCGUGGUUCUUUUAUCACGGAGUUUAUAACCAUGGCAGGGUAUUUGCGGCACAAGAAUUUGGUUCAGCUUCAUGGCUGGUGCUGUGAGGGUAAUGAGCUAGUUCUGGUGUAUGAGUUUGUACCAAAUGGUAGCCUCAACAGAUAUAUCCACAGAAGCUUCAAUGUGGCUGCUGUCCUAUCUUGGAAGCAAAGACUUAAUAUAGUUGAUGGAGUUGCAUCGGCUCUUAUGUAUCUUCAUGAGGAGUGUGAGAGGCAGAUAAUUCACGGAGAUGUUAGAACUUGCAACAUAAUGCUAGAUGCAGAGUUAAAUGCAAAGCUUGAGGGCUUUGAUCUGGCAAAAGUUCAUGAUCGCAGUUCAAUCACAAGAGAAGCGACCAUACCAGCCGGAACAAUGGGAUAUCUUGCUCCUGAAUAUGUUUACUCUGGUGUUGCAACUGUUAAAACUGAUGUCUACAGCUUUGGUGUGGUGAUCUUAGAGGUGGCUACAGGUAGAAAGCCAGUGGAGGAUGAUGGUACAGUGAUUGUUGAUUGGGUUUGGGGCCUGUGGGAAGUGGGGAAACUGAUUGAAUCUGCUGAUCCAUGGCUGGCUGGGAAUUUUGACAAGGUAGAGAUGGAAAGACUGCUGAUGACUGGACUUGCUUGUGUGCACCCAAAUCCUGCAAAGAGGCCAACAGUUAAAGAAGCUGCAAAGAUAUUACAAGGAAAAGCGUUACUUCCUGUAUUGCCUGCAAGAAAACCUAGCGGGGUGAGCCUUCGUGAUUGGUGCUCUGGUAUGUUUCGCCUUUAAAACCCAAGAGCCAUUUUUGAAAUGAUCAGUGGCUCAGAAUAGGG